AAUUGUAAACAAAGAUUCGCCAACAGAGAGUUUUCACGUGACGCCACGGCGGCCGUGUUGGUGUCCCUAACCAAAGGAACGGCGGCCAUGUUGGUGUCCCCAACUAAU